UUGGUGGAAACAGAACGUUUGACUAUGGGU
rnacentral:piRNA from 1 species